UGGUUGUAUCGGCGAUAUAACUAACUUGAGUGUUUAACAAAGUGUUGGUAUUCCACGUUCGUCUGCCUUCUUGUCGUUCAUUAAUUUCCAUAAUAGUUUAGAAUCCUGUUUAUUGUUGUUGUUGUUGACGUAGUUGUUGUAGACUGUUUCAAAUGUAAUGUUAAUUGUGCGUCUUAAUUCUUGACAUUUUCGUUUACUCUAACGCUGUUGCUUUUUCAUAGUUGGCGUGUGUUCUUUUUUCUCGUUUUAUUAUGGCCUUUAUUUUAUUAUUUAUCCAUGGCAUUUUUUUUUUGAUGUUUUAGUUAUAACAUUAAUUUUGGUGAUUCAUAGAAUAAAUUAUUUUAUCGUGUUUCAGUUUUCUUCUACAUUUCUGCUGAUGACUAUAUUAACAGUAUCUGUCUCUGGUGAAGUCCCUUGUGCAUU
rnacentral:lncRNA from 1 species